UCCUCAAGUCAGUGAAACACUUCUCACAGGGAAAUUAAUUUCAGAAUUACACCAACAUCUGAACAGAGACCAGACCGCCAGCUCCAGAAUGGACUAUAGCUCUUAAACAGUUCUUCAUUGACCAGAGUGACAUCUAGAUCCCUUGGUUUGAUAGAACUAGCUUGACAUCUGCUUAAAGAAGGAGCCAUUUACUUCCCAAUUUCAGCUUCUUGCUCUUGGAAAUACGAAAUGAGGACAGGAAGACUGCCCUUCUGAACCUCCUCUCUGUCAAAGGACUUCUAGGGAUUUUCAGCAUGUGGAGGAAGAUCAGAAAGUCUCCGCGGAACUUCUGCCAAGCUGCUGAAGUCACAGACUCUUCCCACACUCCCCUGGGUCUCGUCAAUUCUUAUCAAGGAUUCAGGGGUGGCAGCAGCAGCCUUCCCACUUCAGAAAAGGAAGUUGCAGAUUUGUCCUGUGACGAUGUUUGCGUGUGGUGACCACCAGAGGGAGCUACUUAAUGACCUUAAUGAUGGAGUGAGGGCAGAGCAGGAAGAAGUGCCCCUUUGAACUCUUGACUCCAAGCUCCUUGAGAAAGAAGCAUAUUGCUGGGAAUGAAAGAUCUCUAAUGAGACCAAAUGGCAGAACAAGAUUUCUCACCUCUAUAGCUCUGAGCUGGAGGGACCACCAAGUAUUUCCAGACAAGGAGGAACUGUCACCUCGCAUUGCUUGUGAAUCACUGCACAUCUGGUCCUCCUGCCCUGGGACAAGAACUGCAGCAGGAAAAGUCAAUGAGGACUACAUGAAGCCAAAGGUAGGAUAGUUUAUCUAACCUAGUAAAUAUUAAUAAUAAUAAUAAUAAUAAUAAUAAUAAUAAUAAUAUCUGAGUUUAAUUAUGUGGACAGCUUAGUAAAAUCAGGUGAGUUUGGGGUUUUGUAGACUUUAUGUUCUUAUUUAUAACUAUAGGCAGGCUUCAUGAUGUAUGGCCCAUAUAUUUACCUCUGGGAAUUGAGAGCUAGAAUCUUUAUUUGUUCUUAUAAAGGACUAACCAUCAUAAUGAUGGGAUGGAACUUAACAGAAGAGGGCAAAGUGUUACAUAAGAUAUUCCCCCACUGGAAUAGAGUAGUAGCUAAAGCAGAUUUUGAGGGCCCUGAAAUUAUAUUAAAUGUUUUUAAGUUGGUAAAGCCAUUCAAAUCAACUGUACUUAUAGGAAACAAUGGUUUGGCAAACCAAGAUUUGGGAAGCAAAAGAUAUAUCUCUGACAAGGUGAGCUGUGACUUGUCUGUUCCUUAACUCUUUGGCUACAUCCAAAAAACAUGGCAGCUUUGAGCUCAGAGAAAUAUCUAAAGGGAUAGAUGGCAAUAAAAAUAACCACUGUAUGUACUACAUUUUUGUAAAUUGGUCUUUUUGAAUUUGUUCAAUAGUUUGGAACAACAUAGGUGGUGUAUGAUGCUAACAUGGCUUCUCAUACUUUGGCAUUAAGAAUUGUCCAUGGUUCCCAACUGGUGAUAAUGACAGGGCGUAUU